rnacentral:lncRNA from 1 species
AAUGUACCCUAGUACAAUUUAUUUGACAGUACUGUAUCUCUUACUAGUUUAAAUAUGAAAUCCUUGCUCGAAUCCCACUGAAAAAAGGAACCAUUCUGGAGUAGUCCUAAUUAUCGGCAACACUUCAUUUUAAGGGAUCAUGUAAUUACACUGUAGCAGGUAUUACAAUGAAUUGUAAUAAUUCAGUUACACUGUAAUAACAACAUGUAAUUAAUUGGUGGUAGUCUGUAAUUACAGGGAUGUAACAACGGAAUGCUUGUUACCAUGCUUGUUACAAAUGUUAAAGUUUCCCGAAAGCAUCUCAAUACCCGAAUUUCAGCCUUCCGAAGUGAUUGCCACAAGGUUUCAGACGUCAGGAUGGGAAAAUGCUUACAAGAAAGAAACAGAGUUGUCAGAGACAGAGUUGGCAACUUCCAUUGUUACUUGUAAUGUCAAAAAGGGAAGAAAAAGACAAUCCCAUUUUUCUAAAUUAGCUAUCUAAGCUACUUACCGUACUAUAGGCUAAAGAUUUGAGACAUCACUAGAAUAGUUAUUUUUAUGUUAUUGAGAAAGCCUAUGUAUCUUUGUUUAAUCCAAUUAAUCUAUUAAUCUAACAAUAAAAUGUUGCAAUAAAGUUGACUAAAAUAGAAACUCAUCUUUUAUUUGUAAGUAUUUUUACUUGUUAAUGAGUAAUAAGUAAUAAUAUAGAAAUUGCUCAAAGGUAACUAUAAAGUUACACUUCACUUUAACACUUUAAAUAGCAAAAUCCUGUGUAACAACUAGCGACAACCUUGUACUUUUGCAGAUAUUACAGAUAUGUACUCUUUUGUGAAGGAAAUUUUACUUUGUGUAUCUUGUCUUUGGUGUCAUAAACAAUCCUUGAUUCCUACCUAUGUCUGGUAGAGAUAUGGGGGGGCAUCAUGACCUCCUCCUUUAUACUAUUUGGCAGAACGCCCAGAAUAUGUUCAAUAAAUUAAGAUAGGAGAUGGUGCCAGACACAUGGAACCAACCCUAUAAACUAUGCAUGCCUAUCUAACGUGUCUGUAACCAGUAUAUAAGGGAACAAAACAGGAUUGUCCCGUUAGAGCUCCUGACAGACAUGUACAUAUGGUGCAUUGAGUUGGUUGGAACCUCUCCAGCG